UGGGGAAUAUUGCACAAUGGGCGAAAGCCUGAUGCAGCAACGCCGCGUGAGUGAUGAAGGCCUUCGGGUUGUAAAGCUCUGUCUUUUGGGACGAUAAUGACGGUACCAAAGGAGGAAGCCACGGCUAACUACGUGCCAGCAGCCGCGGUAAUACGUAGGUGGCAAGCGUUGUCCGGAUUUACUGGGCGUAAAGGAUGCGUAGGCGGAUUUUUAAGUGAGAUGUGAAAACCCUAAGCUUAACUUGGGGACUGCAUUUCAUACUGGAAAUCUAGAGUGCGGGAGAGGAGAAUGGAAUUCCUAGUGUAGCGGUGAAAUGCGUAGAGAUUAGGAAGAACACCAGUGGCGAAGGCGAUUCUCUGGGCCGUAACUGACGCUGAGGCAUGAAAGCGUGGGUAGCAAACAGGAUUAGAUACCCCUGGUAGUCCACGCCGUAAACGAUGAGUACUAGGUGUAGGAGGUAUCGACCCCUUCUGUGCCGCAGUUAACACAAUAAGUACUCCGCCUGGGAAGUACGAUCGCAAGAUUAAAACUCAAAGGAAUUGAC
rnacentral:rRNA from 1 species